rnacentral:rRNA from 1 species
AUGUAUACAUCUAAACAACCUUUUCUUAAAUCAAAGCAACCCUUUAGUAAAUCCAAGCAAACUUUUAAUAAAUCCAAGCAACCCUUUCGUAAAUCCAAGCAAAUUUUCGUAAAUUCAAGCAACCUUUUCGUAAAUCUAAACAACCUUUUCGUAGGCGUCCCCGGAUUGGCCCGGGAGAUCGAAUUGAUAUAG